CACCUCUAGCAUAACUAGUAUUAGAGGCACUGCCUGCCCAGUGACAAUCGUUAAACGGCCGCGGUAUCUUGACCGUGCAAAGGUAGCAUAAUCACUUGUUCUCUAAAUAAGGACUUGUAUGAAUGGCCACACGAGGGUUUUACUGUCUCUUACUCUUAAUCAGUGAAAUUGACCUCCCCGUGAAGAGGCGGGGAUAAUACAAUAAGACGAGAAGACCCUAUGGAGCUUCAAUUAAUCAACUCAAAAAGCAUAAAAUAAUACCACCAAGGGAUAACAAAGCUUUAGAUGAGCUGACAAUUUCGGUUGGGGUGACCUCGGAGUAUAAAAAACCCUCCGAGUGAUUAAAACUUAGGCCUACUAGCCAAAGUAUAGUAUCACUUAUUGAUCCAAAAUUUUGAUCAACGGAACAAGUUACCCUAGGGAUAACAGCGCAAUCCUAUUCUAGAGUCCAUAUCGACAAUAGGGUUUACGACCUCGAUGUUGGAUCAGGACAUCCUAAUGGUGCAGCAGCUAUUAAGGGUUCGUUUGUUCAACAAUUAAAGUCCU
rnacentral:rRNA from 1 species